AACCUUUCUGUGCCGCAGAAUAAAGUGCAGUGUAAAUCUAAGGCAGAAUGUUACACUUAUCCUUGUGUGCUAAUCAAAGGUGAGUAGCUAGAUUUGAAAUUCUUAGGAAUUUUCCAUAGGAAAAGAUACUGACAAUGUAAAGGGGAGGUGCUGUAGGUCAGUAGCUUAAAACUUGUUGAAAUAUAUAGGUGACCCAGUUAGAAAUCAGAGCAAGAGGUGAGUGUUUCUUUGGACAGCAUUUUUAUGUGAGUACAAUGAAGUUAGAGAAAGAAAGGUCUGAUUAAGGUGCAUGAAAGAAAUGAACAAAAAGGAAAAAUAGCGCCUAUAAAUGAUGAGUGGACAAGUUCUGAUUCUCAGAGCUAGGAACAGUCCUGAUUUAUUACUUCUGCAGUAGUAGUUCUGGUUCUGUCAUCUGUUUCACACUACUCCUAGUAUUUCAAAACUGCAUUUUUUAGCCCUGCAGAGACAAGAUUUCUGCACUGGAAUCAGUGUCUGUUUGUGCUCAGCUCAAGUUAGAAUGUCACCAGCAGCAUCUGCCUGAAGUUUCACCGGUUUUGCAGAUCAGAAUAAGGGCUCAGAUACCAAGGAAAAUACUGUGAGACCAGCUGAGUGCCACAGAGGGUGUUGAUGGACAGCUGCAAGUUGGCAGUUACAGUGCUACGAAGGAAUUCACUGUGGAAGGCUGAACUUUCCAGAUUUACUAGAUAAAUUUGUAUGUUGGCUUAGGUCAUUAGUAAGUGAGAUUUACAAUGCUUCACAAGAGCAGAAGGUUGGAUGUCAGACUGGGGCCUUUCUGUCACGGUGCGAAGAUGGCUGACUGCAGUGGCUGCACUGCCAGUGGGACUCAGCGCCUCUCCCACAACCCGACCAGGCCUGGAUGCGUUUCAAAAGCUGCUCCUCUUUCCCCUCAUGUCAACUGUAGAAGAGGAGAACUCCUCAAUUUGCUACUGAGAUGUCUGAUCCUGCCAGCUUUCCUGUCUCCUCAAAGCUUCCCAGCCAUGUUCUUCUACCUCUGAGAACCUGCUGCUUUGGUCAGAAGAAGAAGAACAAAUGCUCAUUAGGGUCGUUUCUAGCAUUCCUGGCUUACAUCCAGUCUCCAAAAGCCCAACCAGAGCAGAAGACAACAGUUCCAUUUUGUAGAGAUCCCCAACCUGAGGGCCAUGACCCAAGCAUGCAGGCGGUGCUAGCCAGCCUUGGGCAGCCCAUGGUGUGCAUAUGCAAGUGACAACCAGGAACACGGGGAGACAGCAGGAGAAGGAAGUGGAAAUAAAGUGACCGUGGCAGUGCCAGGCUGGAUCAGCAAUGUUAGCAUGGGGCUCCUAGCAUGAAGAACUCCUUUUGUUUGCAGAAAUUAUCCAUGUUCAGGCUCCCCUGGACAUUGCAUUCAGCCCAUCAGUUCCAGGGGCCAUGCUUGGACAUCCAUUGAUCCUCUGGAAAUUCAUGCCUAGAGGACCUUCUGCUCCACUCCUGACUUGUGCCAAGCUUUGUGAAGGGCUUGGGAAAAUGGGGUUGAUGGACCAACUCAGAAAUGAAAAGAUACUAAGAGGUGGUGACACUUACCAGAAGGACCAUCCAUAGUCCCAGGAAUGUGGCCU